rnacentral:rRNA from 1 species
CACUAUGCCUAGCCCUAAACAUUGAUAGUAAACUACCCCUACUAUCCGCCUGGGUACUACGAGCAUUAGCUUGAAACCCAAAGGACUUGGCGGUGCUUUAGACCCCCCUAGAGGAGCCUGUUCUAGAACCGAUUACCCCCGUUCAACCUCACCUUUCCUUGUUUCUCCCGCCUAUAUACCACCGUCGUCAGCUUACCCUGUGAAGGACUUAUAGUAAGCAAGAUUGGCACAGCCCAAAACGUCAGGUCGAGGUGUAGCGUAUGGAAGGGGAAGAAAUGGGCUACAUUCCAUAGUAUUAAGGAAUCACGGAUGAUUACACUGAAAUACGUAUCUGAAGGAGGAUUUAGCAGUAAGCAGAAAAUAGAGCGUUCUGCUGAAACCGGCCCUGAAGCGCGCACACACCGCCCGUCACUCUCCCCGAGCUUCUGCCAUUCAAUAACUUAAAACUUUUUAACUGCAAAGGGGAGGCAAGUCGUAA